rnacentral:rRNA from 1 species
GAGUUUGAUUAUGGCUCAGGAUGAACGCUGGCGGCGUGCUUAAUACAUGCAAGUCGAACGAAGUAUUUUUGAAGCUUGCUUUAAAAAUGCUUAGUGGCGAACGGGUGAGUAAUACAUAAGCAACCUGCCUAUAAGACUGGGAUAACUAUUGGAAACGAUAGCUAAUACCGGAUAGGUAAAUAGAAGGCAUCUUCUAUUUAUUAAAGUUGGGUUUCCAACACUUAUAGAUGGGCUUAUGGUGUAUUAGCUAGUUGGUGAGGUAACUGCUCACCAAGGCGAUGAUACAUAGCCGGCCUGAGAGGGUGAACGGCCACAUUGGGACUGAGACACGGCCCAAACUCCUACGGGAGGCAGCAGUAAGGAAUUUUCGGCAAUGGGCGAAAGCCUGACCGAGCAACGCCGCGUGAGUGAUGAAGGCCUUCGGGUUGUAAAGCUCUGUUGUAAAGGAAGAAACAGAUGAAUUAGGAAAUGAAUUC